UACGGAAGGGGGCUAGCGUUGCUCGGAAUUACUGGGCGUAAAGCGCACGUAGGCGGCUUCUUAAGUCGGUGGUGAAAUCCUGGAGCUCAACUCCAGAACUGCCUUCGAUACUGGGGAGCUUGAGUCCGGGGAGAGGUGAGUGGAACUGCGAGUUGUAGAGGUGAAAUUCGUAGAUAUUUCGCAAGAACACCAGUGGCGAAGGCGGCUCACUGGCCCGGUACUGACGCUGAGGUGCGAAAGCGUGGGGAGCAAACAGG
rnacentral:rRNA from 1 species